rnacentral:rRNA from 1 species
UACGGGGGGGGCAAGCGUUGUUCGGAAUUACUGGGCGUAAAGGGUCUGUAGGUGGCCAACUAAGUCAGACGUGAAAUCCCUCAGCUUAACUGGGGAACUGCGUCUGAUACUGGUUGGCUUGAGUGCAGGAGAGGAAUGCGGAAUUCCAGGUGUAGCGGUGAAAUGCGUAGAUAUCAAGAGGAACACCUGCGGCGAAGGCGGGUUGCUGGGCCGACACUGACGCUGAGGCGCGAAAGCCAGGGGAGCGAACGGG